rnacentral:tRNA from 1 species
GGAGAGGUGGCCGAGUGGCUGAAGGCGGCACAUUGCUAAUGUGUUGUGGGUUUAUAGCUCACCGCGGGUUCGAAUCCCGCCCUCUCCG